UACGUAGGUGGCAAGCGUUGUCCGGAUUUACUGGGCGUAAAGAGCGCGCAGGCGGUCGAUUUAGUCGCGUGUGAAAGCCCCCGGCUCAACUGGGGAGGGUCACGCGAUACUGAUCGACUCGAAGGCAGGAGAGGGUAGUGGAAUUCCCGGUGUAGUGGUGAAAUGCGCAGAUAUCAGGAGGAACACCGGUGGCGAAGGCGGGUCUCUGGGCCGGAUACUGCGCUGAGGAGCGAAAGCGUGGGGAGCGAACAGG
rnacentral:rRNA from 1 species